AGUGGCGGACGGGUGAGUAAUGUCUGGGAAACUGCCUGAUGGAGGCGGAUAACUACUGGAUACGGUAGCUAAUACCGCAUAACGUCGCAAGACCAAAGAGGCGGACCUUCGGGCCUCUUGCCAUCGGAUGUGCCCAGAUGGGAUUAGCUAGUAGGUGGCGUAACGGCUCACCUAGGCGACGAUCCCUAGCUGGUCUGAGAGGAUGACCAGCCACACUGGAACUGAGACACGGUCCAGACUCCUACGGGAGGCAGCAGUGGCGAAUAUUGCACAAUGGGCGCAAGCCUGAUGCAGCCAUGCCGCGUGUAUGAAGAAGGCCUUCGGGUUGUAAAGUACUAUCAGCGGGGAGGAAGGGAGUAAAGUUAAUACCUAUGCUCAUUGACGUUACCCGCAGAAGAAGCACCGGCUAACUCCGUGCCAGCAGCCGCGGUAAUACGGAGGGUGCAAGCGUUAAUCGGAAUUACUGGGCGUAAAGCGCACGCAGGCGGUUUGUUAAGUCAGAUGUGAAAUCCCCGGGCUCAACCUGGGAACUGCAUCUGAUACUGGCAAGCUUGAGUCUCGUAGAGGGCGGUAGAAUUCCAGGUGUAGCGGUGAAAUGCGUAGAGAUCUGGAGGAAUACCGGUGGCGAAGGCGGCCGCCUGGACGAAGACUGACGCUCAGGUGCGAAAGCGUGGCGAGCAAACAGGAUUAGAUACCCUGGUAGUCCACGCCGUAAACGAUGUCGACUUGGAGGUUGUGCCCUUGAGGCGUGGCUUCCGGAGCUAACGCGUUAAGUCGACCGCCUGGGGAGUACGGCCGCAAGGUUAAUACUCAUAUG
rnacentral:rRNA from 1 species